rnacentral:rRNA from 1 species
AAUCAACGCUGGCGGCGCGCCUAACACAUGCAAGUCGAACGAGAAAGUCCGCAAGGAUGAGUAAAGUGGCGUACGGGUGAGUAACACGUGGAUCAUCUGCCCUCUUGUGGGAUACCGCUGGGAACCGGCGACAAUACCGCAUAAGCUCGAGAGAGGAAAGACCGAAAGGCGCAGGAGGAGGAGUCCGCGGUCGAUUAGUUAGUUGGCAGGGUAAAGACCUACCAAGACUGUGAUCGAUAGCCGGCCUGAGAGGGCGACACGGCCACACUGGCACUGAAACACGGGCCAGACUCCUACGGGAGGCAGCAGUGGGGAAUCUUGCACAAGU